GUCCGCCUGGGCGUGUGUCAGUCCAGCCCUGUCAACAAAACAAGAUCAUUUCGGUACAUGAAUUUACUUUACUGAAAUGGAUUUUAAGAAUUAUUUUUAAAAGGUGGAAAGAGGACAACCACAUACAAAGGAGCAGGAGCAAUUUCAUGAAAAAAGAUCAGUGGGGGACUGAAAGAAAGAAAGAAGAAAAAAGACAAAUCUGAAAUUCUGAAGGCACUUGGACAAGGUCUGAUCGAGAAGACUGGCCAUGGAGAUGGAUUACAAAGAUCCGCCACCAAACUAUGAUGACGUUGUUACCCAGCAGCACACAAGCAACACUCAGCAGAGCCACUCUGCUGAUAAGAAGCAGGGAGAGGGUGGAUGUAAGCGAUGCUGUAUGAGUACUAAAAGAUGUUUGAUGAGUGCGGAGUGUGGCCGAGCUCUCAACAUCGCCAGUGUGGUUGCCAUGUGUGGGAUGUGUAUUCGAAUGUUUGUCUAACAGAUUUCCUGUGGAUUGUUUCAUCCUGAUCUCUCAUCCAGUGGUGGCCUUCUCAAUUUAAGAAACAAAGACAUUUGCUUUGUGCCCAAACCUAGUGAGCUGCCUAUAAGAGUGCAUUCAAGUCCUCUUGGGAAGUUUGUAUUACAAAGUUGGAAAUCGUCUGAAAGAAUGGACCCGUUCACAUACUAGCAAAGGCAGGCCACAUAUAAUGAUGCGAAAUGUAGUUUUGUUGCAAACGCUUGUCUCUGCAUAAACCAUAAAAUCUUAUUUUCCUGCAAGAUUUAAAGUUAUUCUUCAUUAACAGUACAAAAAUGCAUACAAACUAAACUGUAGAGUCAAAAUUCACAAGCAAAACUGAAUUCUUACCAAUAAAAUUUUUCUAAAAUCCAUUAUUCUAAAAUCAACACGCCCCCCAACUCGGAAAUUAGGGGCUCGAAGAAAAUCCUGAGUUCCCCACUCAUAAUCACCACUAUGUGGUGCCGUUCAUGUACGCUUUAACUCUUAAAUACGAUCAUUCCGACUUGACUUGAACGCACCAUAAGGAAACAUUCAUUAUCAACAUUUAUGAGUCUUCCAACACGAAGGCUGUAUUGCCCAUGUAUCUAAGGCAGUAUUUUUUUAAUCACUCACAGAUAAAGAAAUCCAAGAAUGCACUGCAACUGAAAUGUUCAUAAAAAUUGUCAGAGAGCAUUGAGGGAAAUGGUGAUUAUAAAGUAUAUUUAUAUAUAAUAUUUGUAUAAACUUGGCAGAAGUCUACUGACAUAUAUUAUUAGAAUAUAGUUCCAUCUUAUUAAUAAUCCCCCAUUUAACCAAAUAUAUUCACCAGUAUAUUGUUUUACAUGUUAUAAUGCAGCAUUGAGUCGUUAGCUUAGCAACAUGCUAAUCUCAAACUCUAUUGGAAUGAACUGUGAGUGUUAGUUAGAGUCUCUUCAUUGAAGAUCACCAGUUGGGUGGUGCACAUAAGUGGCCAAUGACAGUUGUUGCUUAUGUGGAAUGUUUUAAAUCCCUUAUGAGUUUAGAUUUUGGUUUCGAAUUUUAGAAUGCUGCCUUAGAUGGCAGUUGCAUUCUUAGAGAGUAAACAAUGAAGCAGAUUGCUAGGUUUUUGCACAGAGCAUGUUGUAAUGGCCUUAUUCCAGUUUAAUGAAACUAUUAAUUCAUAUACUCUUUAUUAAUAUUGCAUGAUGACAACAGUAUUAUUAGUUAGAACGUAUACUCACACCAGUAUUUCUAUCUUUAUUUAAAAUGAAUGUUAAAUUGUGAACAUGAUCCAGAAUGUACCAUAAAUGCAUCCAUUUAGAAAUGCUCAUUAGAAGAAAGCGUUUUCAUAAAGUGGAAUCAGUCAUUUGAUUGGAUGUGGCAUUCUGCAGAAAGUGGCUACUUUCUAUUUAUGUUUAUCAUUUAUUUCUUCUACAACUUACUAUUUUAAAGUAAUAUAAUAUUGAAAUAUGUUUAUAGAGAUGUGUUCCUAAAAAUGAAAUGACAUUGAAGAGAAGGACGACAACACAAAGGUAGAAUGCAGUAAAUAUGCCAACACAGAUAGAAAGGACAGAUCAAAGUCUUAGUUCCAAGCAAAACAUGAUUUUAUGAAAAUGUCUACUUACGGCAUUAUUUCUAUUUUAUUUUGCACAGCAGUCUAUAUGUAUUUUAGGAGGUGGGGAAGACAAUAUUUAGUAUAUGUACUGUGUAUCUGGAGCAGUGCUGGGUAGAUUACUUAUGAAUUGUAAUCAUUACCAGAUUACAUUCCUAAAAUUGUAAUCAGUUACAAAUUUCUCAGAUUGCAUUUUUACAAUAAUCUAAUCUGAUUGCUUUUGGAUCAUUUCUGACCUUCAGUAAUUCUUGUUUAUUUAAUGUCACAUGCAUUUGUGUAGGAUAAACUUGUACUGUUUUUACACAAUGUUGCUUAUAUGCAUUAAAGAAAACGUACUUAAU